rnacentral:rRNA from 1 species
UACGUAGGGUGCAAGCGUUGUCCGGAGUUACUGGGCGUAAAGCGCACGCAGGCGGUUCAGUGAGUCUGUAGGGACAGGGCACAGCUCAACUGUGUCAGGCUUACGGAAACUGCUGAACUUGAGGGCUUCAGAGGGAUGGGGAAUUCCGGGUGGAGUGGUGAAAUGCGUAGAGAUCCGGAAGAACACCAAAGGCGAAGGCACCAUCCUGGGGAGUCACUGACGCUCGGGUGCGAAAGCUAGGGGAGCGAACGGG